UACGAAGGGGGCUAGCGUUGCUCGGAAUCACUGGCGUAAAGCGCACGUAGGCGGAUUGCUAAGUCAGGGGUGAAAUCCUGGAGCUCAACUCCAGAACUGCCUUUGAUACUGGCGAUCUCGAGUUCGGGAGAGGUGAGUGGAACUGCGAGUGUAGAGGUGAAAUUCGUAGAUAUUCGCAAGAACACCAGUGGCGAAGGCGGCUCACUGGCCCGAGUACUGACGCUGAGGUGCGAAAGCGUGGGGAGCAAACAGGG
rnacentral:rRNA from 1 species